rnacentral:rRNA from 1 species
AGAACGAACGCUGGCGGCAUGCCUAACACAUGCAAGUCGAACGAGACCUUCGGGUCUAGUGGCGCACGGGUGCGUAACGCGUGGGAAUCUGCCCCUCGGUUCGGAAUAACAGUUAGAAAUGACUGCUAAUACCGGAUGAUGACGUAAGUCCAAAGAUUUAUCGCCGAGGGAUGAGCCCGCGUAGGAUUAGCUAGUUGGUGAGGUAAAGGCUCACCAAGGCGACGAUCCUUAGCUGGUCUGAGAGGAUGAUCAGCCACACUGGGACUGAGACACGGCCCAGACUCCUACGGGAGGCAGCAGUGGGGAAUAUUGGACAAUGGGCGAAAGCCUGAUCCAGCAAUGCCGCGUGAGUGAUGAAGGCCUUAGGGUUGUAAAGCUCUUUUACCCGGGAUGAUAAUGACAGUACCGGGAGAAUAAGCUCCGGCUAACUCCGUGCCAGCAGCCGC